rnacentral:rRNA from 1 species
AUACGGAGGGUGCGAGCGUUGUUCGGAAUUAUUGGGCGUAAAGCGCGUGCAGGCGGUCUUUUAAGUCUGAUGUGAAAGCCCACGGCUUAACCGUGGAAGGUCAUUGGAAACUGGGGAACUUGAGUGCAGAAGAGGAGAGUGGAAUUCCAUGUGUAGCGGUGAAAUGCGUAGAUAUAUGGAGGAACACCAGUGGCGAAGGCGACUCUCUGGUCUGUAACUGACGCUGAGGCUCGAAAGCGUGGGGAGC